rnacentral:lncRNA from 1 species
GGUGCCGCCCCUCUUCCCUUGGGUGUGGAUCCUUCUUGGGUAUUUCACCUACUAGUGUGAGGUGUCACACCAGCACAUCUCCUCCCUCAUUUGAUUGAAUUGUGAAGGCAAUUGGAUUAGAGUUCAUCCUACUUUCCUGUGGCAUCUAACAUGCAUGCGAAGUAGGGGGUCUAUAUAUCCAGGCCUCCGUAAAGAUUUAUAUCAGAUUAUUUGAGAUUUGAUCCCUGGUU